AUUGGGCAGGUGAUGAAAUCUUGUAUUGUUAAUGGGUAAUUUGCGUCUGAAUUAUUUCAUUGAUGCUAUGCAACCUUUGAGACCUGAUGCCUGUA